AAAAUCUAGGCAAAUUUAUUUAUGCGCUCUGAUUUAAAAAUGAGAGCGCAAAAAUAAAUUUGCAUAGGAUU